UACGUAGGGUGCAAGCGUUGUCCGGAAUUAUUGGGCGUAAAGGGCUCGUAGGCGGUCCGUCACGUCGGGAGUGAAAACUUGGGGCUUAACCCCAAGCCUGCUUCCGAUACGGGCGGACUAGAGGUAGGCAGGGGAGAACGGAAUUCCUGGUGUAGCGGUGAAAUGCGCAGAUAUCAGGAGGAACACCGGUGGCGAAGGCGGUUCUCUGGGCCUUACCUGACGCUGAGGCGCGAAAGCCAGGGGAGCAAACGGG
rnacentral:rRNA from 1 species